UACAGAGGUCCCAAGCGUUGUUCGGAUUCAUUGGGCGUAAAGGGUGCGUAGGCGGCGCGGUAAGUCGGGUGUGAAAUCUCGGGGCUUAACUCCGAAACUGCAUUCGAUACUGCCGUGCUUGAGGACUGGAGAGGAGACUGGAAUUUACGGUGUAGCGGUGAAAUGCGUAGAUAUCGUAAGGGAAGACCAGUGGCGAAGGCGGCAUCCUGGCCCUGACCUGACGCUGAGGCGCGAGAGCGUGGGGAGCAAACGGG
rnacentral:rRNA from 1 species